AACGAACGCUGGCGGCGCGUCUUAAACAUGCAAGUCGAACGAUCUGUAGCAAUACAGGGAGUGGCGGACGGGUGAGGAACACGUAGGAAUCUACCUUGAAGAGCGGGACAACUUUGGGAAACCGGGGCUAAUACCGCAUAGUACAGAGAUGUUAAGGGGCUAGCAAUAGUCGCUUCGAGAUGAGCCUGCGGUCUAUCAGCUUGUUGGUGAGGUAAUGGCUCACCAAGGCUACGACGGAUAGCCGGUCUGAGAGGAUGAUCGGCCACACUGGCACUGAGACACGGGCCAGACUCCUACGGGAGGCAGCAGUUAAGAAUCUUGCGCAAUGGGGGAAACCCUGACGCAGCGACGCCGCGUGAAGGAUGAAGGCUUUCGGGUUGUAAACUUCGGUAGACUGGGAAGAAGAAAUACGUUCGUUGAGGGCGUAUAGUGACGGUACCAGUCUGAAGCCCCGGCUAAUUACGUGCCAGCAGCCGCGGUAAU
rnacentral:rRNA from 1 species